rnacentral:rRNA from 1 species
GACGAACGCUGGCGGCGUGCCUAAUACAUGCAAGUUGAGCGAUGAAGAUUGGUGCUUGCACCAAUUUGAAGAGCAGCGAACGGGUGAGUAACGCGUGGGGAAUCUGCCUUUGAGCGGGGGACAACAUUUGGAAACGAAUGCUAAUACCGCAUAACAACUUUAAACAUAAGUUUUAAGUUUGAAAGAUGCAAUUGCAUCACUCAAAGAUGAUCCCGCGUUGUAUUAGCUAGUUGGUGAGGUAAAGGCUCACCAAGGCGAUGAUACAUAGCCGACCUGAGAGGGGGAUCGGCCACAUUGGGACGGAGACACGGCCCAAACUCCUACGGGAGGCAGCAGUAGGGAAUCUUCGGCAAUGGACGAAAGUCUGACCGAGCAACGCCGCGUGAGUGAAGAAGGUUUUCGGAUCGUAAAACUCGGUUGGUAGAGAAGAACGUUGGUGAGAGUGGAAAGCUCAUCAAGUGACGGUAACUACCCAGAAAGGGACGGCUAACUACGUG